CCAUUCUUCGCCAUACUUGGCCCAUAGUUCCCCCAUAGUUCGCAAAUUUAAAAAAAAGUGUAUUUUUCGCCUCCCAUACUUCGCCAUACUUGGCCCAUAGUUCGCCCAUAGUUCAAAAAUUUAAAAAAAAUUGUUUUUUUCGCCUCCCAUACUUCGCCAUACUUGGCCCAUAGUUCCACCAUAGUUCGAAAAUUUAAAAAAAAGUGUUUUUUUCGCCUCCCAUACUUCGCCAUACUUUGCCAAUAGUUCGCCCAUAGUUCGAAAAUUUAAAAAAAAGUGUUUUUUUCGCCUCCCAUACUUCGCCAUACUUGGCCCAUAGUUCCCCCAUAGUUCGAAAAUUUAAAAAAAAGUGUUUUUUUCGCCUCUCAUACUUCGCCAUACUUUGCCCAUAGUUCGCCCAUAUUUGAAGAAUUUGAAAGAAAUGAUUUUUUUCGCCUCCCAUUCUUCGCCAUACUUGGCCCAUAGUUCCCCCAUAGUUCGCAAAUUUAAAAAAAAGUGUAUUUUUCGCCUCCCAUACUUCGCCAUACUUGGCCCAUAGUUCGCCCAUAGUUCAAAAAUUAAAAAAAAGUGUUUUUUUCGCCUCCCAUACUUCGCCAUACUUGGCCCAUAGUUCCCCCAUAGUUCGAAAAUUUAAAAAAAAGUGUUUUUUUCGCUUCCCAUACUUCGCCAUACUUGGCCCAUAGUUCGCCCAUAGUUCGAAAAUUAAAAAAAAGUGUUUUUUUUGCCUCCCAUACUUCGCCACACUUGGCCCAUAGUUCGCUCAUAGUUUGAAAAUUUAAAAAAAAGUGUUUUUUUCGCCUCCCAUACUUCGCCAUACUUGGCCCAUAGUUCGCCCAUAGUUCAAAAAUUUAAAAAAAAGUGUUUUUUUCGUCUCCCAUACUUCGCCAUACUUGGCCAAUAGUUCGCCCAUAGUUCGAAAAUUUAAAAAAAAGUGUUUUUUUCGCCUCCCAUACUUCGCCAUACUUGGCCCAUAGUUCCCCCAUAGUUCGAAAAUUUAAAAAAAAGUGUUUUUUUCGCCUCCCAUACUUCGCCAUACUUGGCCCAUAGUUCCCCCAUAGUUCGAAAAUUUAAAAAAAAGUGUUUUUUUCGCCUCUCAUACUUCGCCAUACUUUGCCCAUAGUUCGCCCAUAUUUGAAGAAUUUGAAAAAAAUGAUUUUUUUCGCCUCCCAUACUUCGCCAUACUUGGCCCAUAGUUCCACCAUAAUUCAAAUAAUUUAAAAAAAAGUGUUUAUUUCGCCUCCCAUACUUUGCCAUACUUUGCCCAUAGUUCGCCCAUAUUUGAAGAAUUUGAAAAAAAUGAUUUUUUUCGCCUCCCAUACUUCGCCAUACUUGGCCCAUAGUUCGCCCAUAGUUCAAAAAUUUAAAAAAAAGUGUUUUUUUCUCCUCCCAUACUUCGCCAUACUGGGCCCAUAGUUCGCCCAUAGUUCGAAAAUUUAAAAAAAAGUGUUUUUUUCGCCUCCUAUACUUCGCCACACUUGGCCCAUAGUUCGCCCAUAGUUCGAAAAUUUAAAAAAAAGUGUUUUUUUCGCCUCCCAUACUUCGCCAUACUUGGCCCAUAGUUCCCCCAUAGUUCGAAAAUUUAAAAAAAAAUUGUUUUUUUCGCCUCCCAUACUUCGCCAUACUUGGCCCAUAGUUCCCCCAUAGUUCGAAAAUUUAAAAAAAAGUGUUUUUUUCGCCUCCCAUACUUCGCCAUACUUGGCCCAUAGUUCCCCCAUAGUUCGAAAAUUUAAAAAAAAGUGUUUUUUUCGCCUCUCAUACUUCGCCAUACUUUGCCCAUAGUUCGCCCAUAUUUGAAGAAUUUGAAAAAAAUGAUUUUUUUCGCCUCCCAUACUUCGCCAUACUUGGCCCAUAGUUCCACCAUAAUUCAAAUAAUUUAAAAAAAAGUGUUUAUUUCGCCUCCCAUACUUUGCCAUACUUUGCCCAUAGUUCGCCCAUAUUUGAAGAAUUUGAAAAAAAUGAUUUUUUUCGCCUCCCAUACUUCGCCAUACUUGGCCCAUAGUUCGCCCAUAGUUCAAAAAUUUAAAAAAAAGUGUUUUUUUCUCCUCCCAUACUUCGCCAUACUGGGCCCAUAGUUCGCCCAUAGUUCGAAAAUUUAAAAAAAAGUGUUUUUUUCGCCUCCUAUACUUCGCCACACUUGGCCCAUAGUUCGCCCAUAGUUCGAAAAUUUAAAAAAAAGUGUUUUUUUCGCCUCCCAUACUUCGCCAUACUUGGCCCAUAGUUCCCCCAUAGUUCGAAAAUUUAAAAAAAAAUGUUUUUUUCGCCUCUCAUACUUCGCCAUACUUUGCCCAUAGUUCGCCCAUAUUUGAAGAAUUUGAAAAAAAUGAUUUUUUUCGCCUCCCAUACUUCGCCAUACUUGGCCCAUAGUUCCACCAUAAUUCAAAUAAUUAAAAAAAAAGUGUUUAUUUCGCCUCCCAUACUUUGCCAUACUUUGCCCAUAGUUCGCCCAUAUUUGAAGAAUUUGAAAAAAAUGAUUUUUUUCGCCUCCCAUACUUCGCCAUACUUGGCCCAUAGUUCGCCCAUAGUUCAAAAAUUUAAAAAAAAGUGUUUUUUUCGACUCCCAUACUUCGCCAUACUUGGCCCAUAGUUCCACCAUAGUUCGAAAAUUUAAAAAAAAGUGUUUUUUUCGCCUCCCAUACUUCGCCAUACUUUGCCAAUAGUUCGCCCAUAGUUCGAAAAUUUAAAAAAAAGUGUUUUUUUCGCCUCCCAUACUUCGCCAUACUUGGCCCAUAGUUCGCCCAUAGUUCGAAAAUUUAAAAAAAAGUGUUUUUUUCGCCUCCCAUACUUCGCCAUACUUGGCCCAUAGUUCGCCCAUAGUUCAAAAAUUAAAAAAAAGUUUUUUUUAGGCCUCCCAUACUUCGCCAUACUUGGCCCAUAGUUCGCCCAUAGUUCUAAAAUUUAAAAAAAGUGUUUUUUUCGCCUUUCAUACUUCGCCAUACUUCGCCCAUAGUUCGAAAAUUUAAAAAAAAGUGUUUUUUUCGCCUCCUAUACUUCGCCAUACUUGGCCCAUAGUUCAAAAAUUUUAAAAAAGUGUUUUUUUCUCCUCCCAUACUUCGCCAUACUUGGCCCAUAGUUCGCCCAUAGUUCAAAAAUUAAAAAAAGUGUUUUUUUCGCCUCCCAUACUUCGCCAUACUUUGCCCAUAGUUCGCCCAUAGUUCGAAAAUUAAAAAAAAGUGUUUAUUUCGUCUCCCAUACUUCGCCAUACUUUGCCCAUAGUUCGCCCAUAGUUCGAAAAUUUAAAAAAAAGUGUUUUUUUCGCCUCCCAUACUUCGCCAUACUUUGCCCAUAGUUC